rnacentral:rRNA from 1 species
UACAGAGGGUGCGAGCGUUGUCCGGAAUCACUGGGCGUAAAGGGCGCGUAGGUGGUGGCUUAAGCGUGCGGUGAAAGCUCGGAGCUCAACUCCGAGUCGGCCGUGCGAACUGGGCUCACUGGAGCAUAGUAGAGGCAGGUGGAAUUCCGGGUGUAGCGGUGGAAUGCGUAGAGAUCCGGAAGAACACCGGUGGCGAAGGCGGCCUGCUGGGCGUAUGGCUGACACUGAGGCGCGACAGCGU